UGUAGUUUAAUGCAGUAAAUGAGUAAUAGGCAGGCUUUGAUCCUUGCGGAUUUCGAAUGUAUAAAAUUCUAUUUUAAUUAAAAUAUAUAUAGAAUUAAUUUCUCUCCAUUAAUAAUUAGAAAAUAACGAAAAAUUAUUAAAUGCGAAAUAACUCAAAAAUUAAUUGGAUAGGAAAUGAAUAUCCCACAGUGACAAAUUACCAGUAACAACAGUAAUAAUAAUUCACCACAGUAACAAAGAAAUAAGUGCAAUAAAGUACAAUAUACAAUAAAACUCUCUACAUAACAACCGAAGGACAAAGCGAAUGCACAGUGGUUCACGCCAUAUGUCAAAAAUCAAACAAAACUCAGAAUUUUCUGUCAAAAUGUAUACAAAUUGCCUCUAAAAUGUCGAAUCUUCUUAUUAGUAAACCGUUUUUCGCUGAAAAUCAAACGGUACUUUCUAAAAAUAGAUAGAUAUGAUAUUGAGAAUAAUGGCUGCUCGCAACAAAAUACCAGUACCAAUAUGAUUCAAUGAAUAUAAUGAGCUAAUCGUAUGGAAAUCGACCGAAAAUACAUCUCAGCAGAGAGCAGAAAAUGCUCGUCGGGGUUAUUCAAAGGUUAAUUUUUCGGAGUCUUUACGGCGAACAAAGCGACAGCCUGACCAAAAUAGAUGAAUCCACUGCCUUGGCUAAAUGCCAAUACUUGCUUAUUAAAAACCUCGUGAAUAGCAAAAUCCUUUGAUAUAUUUCCAAGCUAUUAAGGUAUAGUAAAAUUACAAAAAAGAUACCCAGAGAAUAUUUUUGUAGACGGAUCUCAUGCUGAAGUCGAGUCGAGUUGAAAAGUUUAUUAGACCAUACAGCACCGAGCAUAUUGGUGCUUCAAGGGAAUGUAGUCGAAUCAAUCACGGGUGAUUCAAUUGAAAAUGUAAAAUUGGAAAAUGGGGAUUUGUUGGAAGUACGGAUCAUACUGAGUAUAAACAAAAAUCUUUAAAUAAUAAUUUAGUAGACAAGAGCUUAUUUGUUACAUCAUACGUACCCCUUCAACUAAUUUCAAAAAGUGACCAUACAAUAAUUUGGAAAAACGCCCGGCCUUCAUCAACACAUUACUGCAGACCAGUUUUAAGUUCUUCAGUGCACAGGUCUUACUUCAUCUCUGAUGAUCUGAUGUGAUAGAACAUGCGCUUGUAUCAACCAGAAAGCUUUCGGAGGAAGCUGCAGAGUCAAACCAAAAGGUAUUAAAGAAUUGUAGACUCAAUCACAGCAUGUUGAAUUCACUUCUUUAACAUUCGGACCCAUUUACAACUGGGCAUAGAAAACAAGGAACGAAGGAUAAGUCAACGUCACUUCAAUCUGUACCAUAAUCGACUUACUAGAGGGGGCAUUAUAAGUUUUUGUUAUAAAUGUUGAAUGGCUGUGUAAAAUUUAAUGUAUUCAAUUGAUUUUUUCCUACAUAA